rnacentral:rRNA from 1 species
GAAUAAGUAAAUAUUUUUGGUUUGGUAGUUAAAUUAUUUAUAUUAUUUAUAUUUAAAAUUUUUAGGUGAAAUUUUAAUUUUAAUUAUAUUAAAUUUGGUUGAAGCUAUGAAAUUUAUAUUAUAAACAAGGAUUAGAUACCCUUUUAUUUUAAAUGUUAAUAUUAACCAGGGUAGUAAUAGUUAUGUUCUUGAAACCCAGAGAAUUUGGCGGUAUUUUAUUCUUUUUAGAGGAACCUGUCCUAUAAUCGAUAUUCCACGAGGAUUGUUUACUUAUUUUUGUUUUCAGUUUGUAUACCUCCGUCAUAAGAGUAUCUUUUUAGAGUGAAUACUCUAUUAAUAUAAAAUAUGAAAUGUCAGGUCAAGGUGCAACUUAUAAAUAAGAAGAGGUGGGUUACAAUAAAUAUAUUUAUACGGAUUAUAAAUUUUAUUUUUAUAUGAAGGCGGAUUUAAAAGUAAAUUUAAUUUCCUAUUAAUUUGAUUUUGGCUCUAAAAUAUGUACACAUCGCCCGUCGCUCUUAUUUUAAGAUAAGAUAAGUCGUAACAUAGUWGGUGUAUCGGAAGAUGUUCCUAGAAAGUUU